CCGAAUUGUCGACACGAGUUGUUGCUGGUCCUCAAAUGGGGGCAUGUGCACGCUCUGUUCACACAUCCACUCACACCUGUGCACCCUCUGUAGUUUUAUGGCCUGGGGGGCUCUCUCCCUCCUGCUGUGAUUCUACGUCUUUACACACACACUGUAACGAAGUACUAUGGAAUGUAUGUCGCGUUUAACGCAAUGCAAUA
rnacentral:misc_RNA from 1 species